UACGAAGGGUGCAAACGUUGCUCGGAAUCACUGGGCGUAAAGCGCACGUAGGCGGCUUUUUAAGUCAGGGGUGAAAUCCUGGAGCUCAACUCCAGAACUGCCUUUGAUACUGAGAAGCUUGAGUCCGGGAGAGGUGAGUGGAACUGCGAGUGUAGAGGUGAAAUUCGUAGAUAUUCGCAAGAACACCAGUGGCGAAGGCGGCUCACUGGCCCGGUACUGACGCUGAGGUGCGAAAGCGUGGGGAGCAAACAGG
rnacentral:rRNA from 1 species